CCUCUCGGGGGUAAGCGGGCAGAACUUGCAAGUAUUAACAAGAGAUUCAGACUUGAUACUGGAGGCUGAGUAUAUUUGUUAAGUUGUUCAUUCGUGGACUGACUGAUUUGUAUGCUUUGAUCUUUUAGUAGUGCGUCGCAUUUCUCUUUGUUAUCCGGGUUGCAUGCAACUGAGUUGAUAGUUUAGGUACUGGAGUACUGCAAAUCCUUGUUGGUUUGAGUUCUGGUUACCAACUAUUUAUGCGGUUGUUGAAAGCGAACAAGCGUUUGACGCGGUCAACUAUUUUCACGAGUCGUGUAUAUGUUAUAUAUGGACGAGUAAUCGUAAUAUGUAAUAUGUACUGGUUGUCAGUGUGAGUAUGUUGGCAUUGUUCAGUAUUGCAAUCUAAAGCAUGCGUGGUCUGCCUGU
rnacentral:rRNA from 1 species